rnacentral:lncRNA from 1 species
AUGCCUCCCAGGAAAGUGGGGCAGAUGGGUAUGAGAUUCCUGGGUAUGAGAUUCCCAGGUACAGCCUGUCCCAGGUGGAAGCUGUCCGAGGAUGAGGCUGCAGCCAAGCUCCAGGAGCCCAGUGCUGCCAAUAGCCCUGGAGACUUUGAACUCGUGUACCCGCCCAGAGCUCACCUGUUUGCCGGGAGCCUUUGUACAGAGAAAAAAAAAAACACAUCAAAGGAGAAGAAAGAGUGAACGUCACUGGUGAGGAGCAAUUUGGGGAGACCAAAGAUCUCUAUGACCCAAAAAUCCGUGUUGGAGUGUCAAAAUUGGGAGACAAAGAGGCAGGAAGGUGGCAAAAGGGGCACCAUCUUCUCAGCAGGGUCACAGGCUCAUUCCUGAACCUCGUUGCCAGGUCUCCAUGCUGCACCUCAGGAAUCCACAGGGACUUAAGUCAUAAUGGGGAUGUGAUGUGUGACCUCAGAGCAGUGGGUUGGUGACUUGGGGUCACAAGCACAGAUGAUCCAGGGACCCUGAAAAGGGAGGAUGGUGCUCUGGAGGCUGCCUUAAUGGGACCCUGCAGUGAGGAGGGAAAGGGGGAUCUCCAUCAGGGAUCAGUUGAAGACCUCAUAACAAGAGGAGAUCCUGGCCUGGAGACGCCCAGGGAGGUUGAAUGGGGACUGUCCAGCCAGGUGGAAAAUGCAGCAAUGACCAUCACCUGGGUCCACUGAGGAACUCACAGAAAGGAGUGUGACAGCCUGGAAAACCUGGUAAACCAAGGCCCUUGCAGGAAAAGGAGAAAUGGAAAUGGGACCUUUCUUGGGUGGCCCUGGCACCCCUCUGAAAGUGAAGAUGGUGUCAGGGAGACUGCAGCUAUUUCGACUGGGAGCAAAGUGUCUGUACUGGGUGUAGCUGCAAGAUGUCUGGUGUAAGAAGAGGAGGCAUCUGAAGCUUUGAUGCAGGAAAAUUUUAUUUACAUAAAAGAAUUAAUAGAUAGGAGCAGCAAGAGGAAGGGAUCCAAGGUGAGGUUCAAGUAGGGCAAAUAUGAGCCAAAGUGCUUUGGUUUCAGGAGCUGUUGGCAGAGAGCAGAGCUGGUGGUGUCAGGGGUGGUGCUGAGGGCCCUUAGCAGAU